AUGUGACCUGUUGACUUUGUAUCUGCACGUGGGCACGAGUGAUGUUCAGUUUGCUAGGCACUAGUCAUAGUGUUAUGGACGUGGUGGAGUGUAAGGUCUUGAUGAAUUACGGCAGUAUGCAGAAAAGGAACCAAGGCCAGAGAGACAAAUAAUGCCUCAUGUCCCACUGCUUUAAAAUUACAUUAAUUUAUAAAAUGGCCACUAUGGGCUCUUUUUGACUGUUUCUCGGAGUAGGAACAAAAUAAGACAUUAAAUGGUGGCUUGAAGAGAAAGAUACACAUUUUCAGAAGAAAGAAAGGGGAGGGCUGCAGGGAGCCUGUCUUGGCGGGAGCUCUCCAGUCUGUUGGAUUAGCACAGGGACACGCUUAUGGUGCCAUGACGCCGAAACUAGUCAUCCCCCAUCUCCAGCAUAGGCAACGGCCUGCAGGGGUGAGUGUCAGAAAAGACUUACUUUGGAAGAAAAGGGUUUUUUUUUGUUUGUUUGUUUUUUGUUUUUUUUUGUUUGUUUGUUUUGGGUUUUUUUCCUGAAAUUUCCUGAUACCUUUUUCAGAAUGUCACCCUUGUAAAUAGGCACCUAAAGCCAAGUUGGUCAGCAGAGCUCCUGACCACGGCUGCCUCUGCGUGACAAGGACAUUUGCAGCUGCCUUUGGAAGGCUCUUCACAUUAAAAAACAAUAAUUAUGUAAGUGUGUUUCAUAGCUUGAGUCAAGCUUUCAAGGAUCACUGCUCCUUUGUGCAUUGUGCAUCCCUUUGGGGAAAGAAACAGAAAAUUAUUCUCUUUCUAUAGAGUCAAGCAAUUCCAGCAGAAGUGAAGAAAUGUUAGUUUCCCAGAAAUCGCAGUGGAAUAGAAUACAAUACUGUGUUAACCAACUUUCUGUAUAAAUGCAUCAGUAUUCCCUUACAUAUGUCUAUAUAUUUUAUAAUAGAACUGUUAGUGAAAAUGUGCUUGUUUAAGCUGGGUCACUAUGCAAGAGUUACUUCCAGUAGAAUGUAGUGAAUGUAAUUCCCUAGUCGGAUAUUAGGGAUGCUGUAGACCCAAGUUCUACAUUCCAGAUGUCCGUGCCUAUAGUAUACUGGAUUUAUUCUUCAUGUUGCUUAAAUGCAGUUAGCUCUGGAGGGGGAUAGCUGCAUCCCUUACUUCUGUGACUAGCAAAGGACAAAGUCCCAGCGCACAGAAUAUGAAAACAUACCCUGUGUUAGCCAAUCAAGUUACAGCAAUGCUGUCACAAAGGGAGUUUUAGAAAACUGGGGAGUCAUUGUCCGUAGACAGCCAUUUUGAUUUAGGAAACAGGUGUAUUAGCAUGAGCCUUAGGUCAUGAACUGCUUUUAAAGAUUGAGUUUGAAUAUGGGAUCUGUCCACGAGGAAGAGAAAAUGGCUUUACCUUUAGGACAAUCUCAUUGUGGACUGCUUUAUUUAUAUUAUUAGUAACGCUGUUUUAAGUGUUAUUCUUUUUAUUGUAUUUUAUUUAUAAAAAAUGCCUUUAUAUAUUGAAAUAUAUAAAUAUAUAUAUAUAAACACACACACACACACACACACACACAUAUAUAUAUAUAUAUAUAAUUGCCUUUAUAUUUAGGCGGUAUGAGUUCUCCCUAAGCGUGAGUUGGCUCUGCCCUGCACAGGCACCCAAACAGUCCUACCUAAUGUCACUUCACCAGGAAAUGAGAGGACAUGGUACAGUGUGGGAGACAGCACUAACACGUGCUGAAUAACUACUGUGUACCAGGCACUGUGCUCGGUGCUUGUUACUGUUAACUCAUUUAACCCCCACAACUCAUCUACAAAGUUGGCAUUAAAAUCCCCAAGUCACUCAGUGAGCCAUGGGACCUGAAUCCGAACCUAGUUUAUCUGGAGCCAUAAUCUGGGCUCCUCCCAUUUUUCCAUACUGCUUUCCAAAAGCAUUGUGGUUCACUCUUUGGAUGGAACCAGUCCCGUUCCGUAUGCUGUGAUCUAUCCCUGCCGUGGAAUUCCUCCGAGGCUCCAACUCCGCAGCCAGAGAAGCUGCUCUCUGGCCUCCGCGGGCAGAGCUCUGCUUAUGACUUCGUCUUCCAGAGGUCCACAUUUCUCCCCUUGACGCCCCCUGUCUACCACCUCCACCUGGAAAUUUGAUCUUUACUGUGCUCAGUGAUCACGAAAUUGGUCAAGCCUAUUCAUGUUCCUUCUCAUCUAGAAUUCUGUGUGAUUGUUUUAGCAUAAACUGCCCCGCUCCCACUGUAUCAUUUCACGAUCUCCUUUUAAUGUUUUUCUUUCAGUUUUGCACUGACAGUCUGGUGACAGGUGCUGCCAGGGUGCAAGUUACAUUGCAAUGUUCUAAACCUUUUGAAGUGUUCUUAGCAAAAGCCUUUCUUUCUGGGUGUUUUUGUCGAAUGAGUCUAUGAAGACUCAAUGCAUCCAUCUUGGGCUGAUCAUGCCACAGAUCUCAUUCCAGCUAUAGUACUGCCAAGAAGUGAAGUUUAUCAUUGAAUUUUACCUGUGUUGCUCUCUUUUAAAGUAAUGACUUUGAGAUGCAUGCUUUGUAUCAUAUUGAAAAGUAUGUUUUAUUUUCCUUAAAGUUGUAAUAUUGUGUGUGAAACUGUACAUAUUUUAAAUGAUGUAGCUUUGGCAGGUUUUAUUUGGUUGAUAUGAUUUUAUAUUAAAAGAGAAGGCUGCUUUCAUAU
rnacentral:lncRNA from 10 species